CAUGGGUAGCAAUACCUGAUGGCGACCGGCAAACGGGUGCGGAACACGUACGCAACCUUCCCAAAACUGGUGAAUAGCCUUUCGAAAGAGAGAUUAAUACACCGUAACAUAACGAGCAGGCAUCUACUUGUUAUUAUAGUAGCAAUACGGUUUUGGAUGGGCGUGCGCCUGAUUAGAUAGUUGGCGGGGUAACGGCCCACCAAGUCUGCGAUCAGUAACUGGUGUGAGAGCACGACCAGUCACACGGGCACUGAGACACGGGCCCGACUCCUACGGGAGGCAGCAGUAAGGAAUAUUGGUCAAUGGACGCAAGUCUGAACCAGCUAUGCCGCGUGAAGGAUGAAGGUCCUCUGGAUUGUAAACUUCUUUUAUCUGGGACGAAAAAAGCUCAUUCUUGAGCACUUGACGGUACCAGAGGAAUAAGCACCGGCUAACUCCGUGCCAGCAGCCGCGGUAAUACGGAGGGUGCAAGCGUUAUCCGGAUUCACUGGGUUUAAAGGGUGCGUAGGUGGGCAGGUAAGUCAGUGGUGAAAUCUCCGAGCUUAACUCGGAAACUGCCAUUGAUACUAUCUGUCUUGAAUUAUCUGGAGGUGAGCGGAAUAUGUCAUGUAGCGGUGAAAUGCUUAGAUAUGACAUAGAACACCAAUUGCGAAGGCAGCUCACUACGGAUAUAUUGACACUGAGGCACGAAAGCGUGGGGAUCAAACAGGAUUAGAUACCCUGGUAGUCCACGCCCUAAACGAUGGAUACUCGACAUCAGCGAUACACUGUUGGUGUCUGAGCGAAAGCAUUAAGUAUCCCACCUGGGAAGUACGAUCGCAAGAUUGAAACUCAAAGGAAUUGAC
rnacentral:rRNA from 1 species